UUUAACUCAGCCAGUUUAGCCUGUGUUAAAGGCAGUGUGCCUUGUCUAGACUAGACUUAAAAUGUGUUUCUUAGUCUGUGUUAAGAUGUGCUUUAACAUCACAGCCUUAACUCCUAGUUCAGAUAAGGCCUUAUUUUUUCUGAUACAUUUGUAGAUACAUGUGAUGUAUUCAGAACUCUUACAGUAGCAUUUCACUCAUAUUCAGAAUUUUUAACAUUGCUGGGUUAAGAACCUUCUAAAAGCUGCCCUGUUUCUUUAAGAGAAGUCUUUGGAAGGGACAUACCCAUAGCAAAACUCUCUUAAACUUCCAUGGAUUGGUUAUCCUCUCAUGACUGGCAAGGCUAAAGCAUUGUCUCUGUUUCUAAUUGGUUGGUCUUUUUAUCCAUCAUUCACCCUAUUCUGAGCUUUGUGGACAUCAGGCUACUUUGAGAGAAACAUGAAAGAGAUUUUUCAUGGUGCCAUGAAUUUUGACUUCUUUGUGAUUAACAUACUGUAUAAAUAAAUAUACACAAGGCUAAAGGUUUACACUGAUGUUGAAAGUGCAACUCAACAGCAGCAUUAUGUGUUUGAACGGAACAGAAGUGAGAAACUAAGACAACUCAAAAAAGAAUGAUCAAAAGAGGAUGUCGACAGGAGAAUGCAGGAAGCUUUAGAAGCCUGAAUCUCUAGCCACACGGAUGACUCUGUUGCUGCCCUUAAUGCUAGAAUCAGGAGAAAGCUCCAUACCAGAUCUUCAGAAGCAGAACUACUACAGCCUCCUGAGCAGAAACUUCUGCAGUGUGAACAAUAGGCAAAGAUGCACAGCAGCUAUCAUGAAGUAAGAGAGCUGUAUCGGACAUACUUUGUAUGAAAUCACUUGCUUUCACAUACCAUGCAUUUCACACCAGCAAAGGCAAACACUGUACAUGUGACUUGAUCAAUAUAGUCUCUAGAUUUCAGUGGUAAUGGUAAUUUUUAGGUCAAGAAGUAAUCGUGAGUGGGAAAGGUGGGGUAUUAGGUGCUCAUGGAAGUAUAGCACAGUAGUUGGGAUCAAGGGUGGGAUUUUGAGAAGCACCCAGCAAUGAUCUAACUCUGCUUCCAUUUAAGUCAAUGGUAAAACUCCUGUCUACUUGAAUGAGAGACAAGUUAACCCAAUGCCGAGCAUUUUUAAAUAUCCUACCCUUGGUCAUUUUCACUGUCUAAGGGGGUCUAGGGUUUUGCCAUUGACUUUACAGGUAGAAUGAUUGACAGGGCCGGCUUCAGCUUUUUUGCCACCCCAAGUGGCGAAGCGGGGGGCAAAAAAAGAUGAAGCCGCGAUUGGCAGCACUUUGGAGGCUCUACCGCGCCGCUUCAUUCUUCAGCGGCAAUUCGACGGCGGACCCGCUGCCGAAUUGCCGCCGAAGACCCAGAUGUGCCGCCCCUUUCCAUUGGCCGCCCCAAGCACCUGCUUCCUUUGCUGGUGCCUGGAGCCGGCCCUGAUGAUUGACCCCAAAAUAAUUAAAUGACUUGGGAUACAGUGUUAGCUUAAAGGUGUUAUGGCCAUGACUUUUGAGGAUUGUUUGGUAAUAUUCAGGUAGACAAUCCGAAAACCAAGGUGCCAAGUUUAAAGAUGCUGAAUAACAUGAUGAUAAAAGCUUUGUUAAUCAAAAUAAACUAUUACCUUGAUUCUUCUCUCAUUUGUACUGGUGUAAAUCAGGAGUAAUUUAACUGACACACGGAGUUACACUGGUGUAAUUCUAGUACAAGUGAGAGGAGAUUGCAACACUACAGUCUUAGGUGAAAUGUUUCUGUUUUGUUAAACCUCAUUGUUGGGUGGGUUCUGGUUACUUUUGCCAUUUACCAGUCUAAAGGCUACAGUUGUACAAUUUGUUAAAGGAAUGCUAUGAGGUUAAAAAAAACUUCUUUACAAUUCCUUACCUAUGUUAUUAAUAAAACAUGAGAUUAUAAAUUAA